rfam:Helianthus annuus linkage group 6, whole genome shotgun sequence.
CUGACAGAAGAGAGUGAGCACAGGCCGGCAACUGUAUACGGAGAUUAUACUCUUGUUGGAGUUAUGCGUGUGCUCACUUCUCUUUCUGUCAG